CCGACGGUAGCUCAACCGGAUAGAGCAGCUGCCUUCUAAGCAGCAGGUCGGGGGUUCGAGUCCCUCCCGUCGGGCCA
rnacentral:tRNA from 2 species